AUGGGACGGCCCGCUGGGCUGUUCCCGCCCCUAUGCCCUUUUUUGGGUUUCCGGCCAGAGGCAUGCUGGGAGCGUCACAUGCAAAUUGAGCGUGCACCCAGCGUUCCGCCCUUUCUACGCUGGGCCGGUUAUCGACCCGGCCCAGUGCGCAGGCGCGGGAAAGUUGAACUAAUAAAGUUUGUACGAGUUCAGUGGAGGAGACCGCAAGUUGAGUGGAGGAGGCGGCGGUGGGGCCCCGGACCAGGUCAGCGGGGUGUUGACGAGGGGUGGGGUGAGGAGGGAAGAGGAGGGGGCCGGGAUCCAGUGGUGGGCACCCCAGUCCCGCUUCUCUGAUAUCCAAGGGUCCAGGGUCCUCUAGAUUCCAGCAGGGGUCGGAGAUUUGGAACUACACCUCACAGCAGGCUGCGCGGCGAAGAAGCGCGGACCUAGGGGAAGAUUUGCCCUGAAACCUCUUGGGAUUGGUAGUUCCCGAUGCUUUAAGGGUUUCAGGAGUUUGGCAUAUGCCUCUUAUAGAAUCCAGGAGUUGGGGCGCUAAGCCUCUUCUUCCUGGGAGACCUAAGGGUCUGGGGCUCCAGUUCCUUUUUCUCUAAGACUCAGAAGUCCAGGACCCCAGCUCCCUCCUCCUUUAGACCCACGAAUCUGGGCACCCAGCCCCACCACCUUUCCUUGGAUCGAAGAGUCUUUUUCCUGAUCGCUUUUUCGUCUGAGGACUCAAGAGUCUAGGCCCCCAGACCCACACUCUCCAAAGGACCCAGGAGUCCAGGCCCUCAGCACCUUCCUUGGGACUCACAAGUCCUGGUCCCCAAGCCUCCACUUCUUGCUAAACCCUUGGAGUCCAGUCCCUAACCCUCUCUCUCACAGGUGCCUCCAUGGCAGGCUCUGAAGAGCUGGGGCUCCGGGAAGACACGCUGAGGGUCCUAGCUGCCUUCCUUAGGCGUGGUGAGGCUGCCGGGUCUCCUGUUCCAACUCCACCUAGGUAAGAGGAGUGGCCCUUCUCCCCCAGGGGCCAGCAUUUGAGGCUCCCUCCUAACUCUUGCUCCUGGUCUCAGUCUGUCUCCUCUCUUUAUAUCUGGCUCUAUUCUCUGUCUUUGGGGUUUUGGAGAGAGGUCCUCAGCGGGGGAGGGAGGGAGUUGGGGAAAGAGACUGCUUGCAGGGGAUCUCUGGUGGGGUCAGUCUCUGAAGUCCUCCUCUCCAGAAGCCCUGCCCAAGAAGAGCCAACAGACUUCCUGAGCCGCCUUCGAAGAUGUCUUCCCUGCUCCCUGGGGCGAGGAGCAGCCCCCUCUGAGUCCCCUCGGCCUUGCUCUCUGCCCAUCCGCCCCUGCUAUGGUUUAGAGCCUGGCCCAGCUACUCCAGACUUCUAUGCUUUGGUGGCCCAGCGGCUGGAACAGCUGGUCCAAGAGCAGCUGAAAUCUCCGCCCAGCCCAGAAUUACAGGGUCCCCCAUCGACAGAGAAGGAAGCCAUACUGCGGAGGCUGGUGGCCCUGCUGGAGGAGGAGGCAGAAGUCAUUAACCAGAAGCUGGCCUCGGACCCCGCCCUGCGCAGCAAGCUGGUCCGCCUGUCCUCCGACUCUUUCGCCCGCCUGGUGGAGCUGUUCUGUAGCCGGGAUGACAGCUCUCGCCCAAGCCGAGCAUGCCCCGGGCCCCCGCCUCCUUCCCCGGAGCCCCUGGCCCGCCUGGCCCUAGCCAUGGAGCUGAGCCGGCGCGUGGCCGGGCUGGGGGGCACCCUGGCCGGACUCAGCGUGGAGCACGUGCACAGCUUCACGCCCUGGAUCCAGGCCCACGGGGGCUGGGAGGGCAUCCUGGCUGUUUCACCCGUGGACUUGAACUUGCCAUUGGACUGAGCUCUUUCUCAGAAGCUGCUACAAGAUGACACCUCAUGUCCCUGCCCUCUUCGUGUGCUUUUCCAAGUCUUCCUAUUCCACUCAGGGCUGUGGGGUGGUGGUUGCCCUACCUGUUUUUGCCAAAAAUAAAUUGUUUAAAACUUUUCUUAUUAAAAACGUUACAAAGUA
rnacentral:misc_RNA from 1 species